CUGAGUGGUCCGCCAAGAGGCUGCGCCGGACCGCACUCUUCUCAUCUCAUCGAUAGCGCAGUGGAUAGCGUUGCCGCAUCUAACAUCAACGGGUGCGUGUUCAAGACCCGUCGGGGUAACCUAAUUUUACAUCAGUUUCGGUUCCCUAAGUUGGUAUCACUGACCUUGGGGCUGCAGUUGAGACUUAAGUAUCGUUGAGUGGAGACGAUAAUGCUCUUGAAACGGAGAAGUGUGUUGUUCACUUGAUUCAAGAAUCGGCGUACUUGAUUCAAGACAAAUAAUCAAGUAUUUUUAAUCAAGAAAUAUAUUUUACUUGAUUCAAGAAAUCUUUUUUCUGGGUGCACUGGGCUCGGCUCGGUGCUCGGUGCUGCUCGGUGCCGAACGAACUCAGCCGAAAAAGUCCGAGACAAACUAGAUCGCUUUCGGGCCUACUAGCUUAGCUGGUCAAGGUGCUGCCCGAGCGCUAUUAAGAGGGCUACUCUGGGGCUCAAGGUGCUACCUUCGGGGCAGUCCGAUUAAGGCAGCGUAUGUAGAGAGAGAGGGCGGGAGUCAGACGAGUCGGGCAGAAAAUUAAGACCGGGCGCUGAAUUCUACUUUCACACUCGCGGGGCAAAUUAUUAAUCCUUGUCAAGUCUGAAUUUUCAGACCGCCACGUCUGAAAUUUUUUUCAGACUACAAGGUCCGUAUUUUUAGACCUGCGGUCCAAAUAUUAGGACUCUAGUCUGAAAACGAAAUUCAGACGGACAAGUCUGACACUUUCGGUCUGAAUUUUCAGAAUUUUUUAACAGUGUAGAUAAUUGUGCUCAGUCAUUCUCAAUGAGCUCUUCUUUUUUAAAGCUAAGCUUUAAUGCAUCUUUUUACACUUUUGUGUCCUGAUAAAUAACACUGCUUUCCUGUCUUGAAGAUCAAAAGUGGUUACUCUGUUUCUUGACUGUAUGCAGUCUUUAUGUUACCUUAUUGAAGGUGGCCAACAUAUGUUUGGGAGUUGUGCACAGGGCAACGAUAGCCUAAUGGAUUCUGAGCACUCAUCUCGGUUGCUUGCUGGUGCUGGGUUCAAGGUAUUAAUUUGGUGCAAGGUAUUCCAUGAAUUUUCAUUUUUUGAAAUUGCAGACGGAUUCUGUUAUGAACAGAGCCAGUUCUUUCGGCAAAACUAUAGUACAGUUGACAAAAGUGUUGUAGAGCCCUAUACUGUUUCUAGCCAAGUUUCUGUACUAAAAGUAUUCAAGCCUUUGUUUUGUCAAAUGGUCAAGUCAAUAAAUAUUAACAGGAAUUUCAAACUUCUUCAGAAGUUUUGUACUGCCAACAACAUACUUGUACCCAAGAACAUUUAUACAAAUUUGUUUGGGCCACAUCCAGAAUAAAACUGUGGAAUGCUUCCACAAAUAUUUUGUGACAUUGUGUGCUAUGCUAUGCAUAGUGAGUAACUCCACUCCAAGGUGGACCGAGAUCUGGGAUUGGGUCACGGAUUCGGUUCAAACUUCGUGGGUUCAAUAGGUACCACUAGGACCUAUCAACCCUAAAAGGAAAGUUGGCUAGCUCAAAUAGAACCAGAGAUAUUAGCAUUUUUCUAAAUUUGACUAAUUUAGCGUAAAAAUGUCGCUUUCUGACUUGUUUAUGGUAAAAUUGGUUGCUUAGUUCUGGCUUAGGUUUCCUCUUUCUAGUCAUAAAAAAAGAAGAAAAUGGUGGCAGGCCAAGUUUCGUAAGGGAAGGUGGGGUACCAUGUGACGGUUUUUGUUAAAUGCCCGUCAACCCAAUAAUACCAAACACAUUACAUCCAUAAGUAGACAUGUGAACAAAAUGAUUCUUCACCGUAUGAUUUCUGUUGAGAUUUCUAAUUUAUCUGUUUUGGUUGCUGAGUUAUCCCGAGUUGAAUGGGCCAAGUCAAAGUGUCACUUCGUAACCCACGUAGUACACUAUGUGACAGCCUUAGUGUACCAUGUGACAGUGGCCUUUUGUCCGGGUUUAAAUCCUAUUCAGCGUACCUAUACGGAAAGAACGAACGAAGAAGUCUUCCAGCUUUUUAUUUCCGUUGAGUUUAUCAAUUUAUCAUCUAUGGUUCCCGAGCAAUAAAGGUUUUAGUUACAAGUGUACAAAUGUCAUAGACUGAACACAUUCAACUGAGUGAAUCGUGGAAUCCCAUAGCGAAUGACAGUUUAGCUGUUAGCACCAUGGAUCACCCUAACAUUGUACUCAGGGACGUCGCUGCUCUCGCAGCUGUAAGUAGCCACGAUUCUGUGAAAACUUUUGUGAAAAUCCUUAUCCUUUAGACCCUUUUUCCAAGCAUUCAGUCAGAAUCUCCGAGAGUCCUGCAGUUCUUUGGAGUAAACUACUUUGUCCUCUGUCCUGCAGUGCGAGGAUUUCGAGCUUCGCGACGCAACUAACCUGAAGAAGAUCGUGGUAGCGAUUCCGGGCUCUGUGGGGACACCGUAUGAAACAGGGGUGUUUGAGGUUGAAUUGCAUAUUCCUAGGAAGUACCCCUAUGAAAGUCCUAAGUUUCUCUUCAAGACUGUCAUCUUUCACCCGAACAUAGGACCAGAGGGUGUUGUCUGUGUUGAUAUGCUUGAUGAUAAAUAGUACCCAUCGUAUACUUUGGAAACAGCCUGUCUCUGCAUGCAGACUCUGAUGAGAGACCCCAACCCAAUGUCACCUUUAAAUGUGGAAGCAGGCAGGAUGAUGAGGAGGGAUCAAGAAAUGUUUGAAAGAACAGUAGAGCGAUUCUCACGUUUCGGGGUAGUUUUGGCGUCUCUGAUUUGCCGAAAGUGAGAAAUAUCCAAUUAAGUUUUUCUGAUU